UACGUAGGGGGCAAGCGUUGUCCGGAUUUAUUGGGCGUAAAGAGCGUGUAGGCGGCCAGGUAGGUCCGUUGUGAAAACUGGAGGCUUAACCUCCAGCUGUCGAUGGAAACCAUCUGACUAGAGUCCGGAAGAGGAGAGUGGAAUUCCUGGUGUAGCGGUGAAAUGCGCAGAUAUCAGGAAGAACACCCGUGGCGAAGGCGGCUCUCUGGGACGGUACUGACGCUGAGACGCGAAAGCGUGGGGAGCGAACAGG
rnacentral:rRNA from 1 species